UAAAGGCUAACAAAAAAUUCAAAUUUUCAAUGCUUAGAUCAGAUUCUGGAAUCAUGCAACAUUAAUUCAGUUGGUACCUAAAAGUACUCGCAAAUCAAUUGGUUGAAUUUGAAAAUAAGUGCUCUAAAAUGAAAAGAUAAUGCUACAAAUUGGGGGAAAUUUCGAUGAAGUAAUAGCCACUAUUUGAGUUAUGGAUGCCAGAAAUUUAUGCUGUCAUUUUGAAAAGAUUUCAAGAAGUGCAGGCAAGUCACAAAAAAACUGAAAAUCCUUGAUAGAACCAUAUGCUCGAAUUUCCAUAUGGACGAUAGAGCUGCUUUACCCACAGGAGCACCUUUUUUUUUUACAAUUUAACUGGCUCUAAAAUGGAUUGUGAAGAUAAAUUAUUGUCUCCUUGAUUAGUUUACUCACCUUUUCAGUGAGAAUGAAGGACUAGGAUUUCUCCUUAGUAAUCAAUUAUCAUAUUUGUUUUGAAGUAUCAUGGUUUUUUUGGCAGAUGAAUACUUCAAUUGCUAUUUCCUUUGUACAAAUUGGUUAAUUGGAGUCUUUCGUAUGGACAUGUAGCUAGAAUAUUUGGCUUUGCUGUGUAAUAUUUGAGCUACAAUCAUAGUUGGCAAAAAAUGCAUAGGUCUCAACCUAAUCUGUAUCCAGACUCCUCAAGUUAGGGAACAUUCUCCUCGAUCUGGUAAUCUCCAUUCCCCCAAGUAGAGCUACAAUCCAGGACUCAGAGAAUAGUUACGAAACUUGUUUAAACCAUUUCAAUAUAAUUUUCAUUUUGGAAAAACCAGAAGUUCCUUGUACGUUACGCGUCAGUUUAACCCUUCUGCAUCAAAUGUUUUCAUGUCGAAAGGUAAUGAUCAUUCUCUAACUUUUGCAAUACACUUCCGCAGGAGCCAUUUUCAUCUUUGUACCAAGUAAAAGGGAGGUUCAAUCAAAGAUGCAGCACAAUGUGAGACGGUGGAGCAAGAGAUGCAGCUGAGUGCAAAGUGAGACCAUGAUUGCUUGAGAACAACACCGGUAACACUGCCUAUGAAGGGGCACAUAUUUCCUCUGUUUGUUACAGAACAACUAGUGUCUUGGAUUACUUAGAGAACAACACCGGUGACACGGCCUAUGAAGAGCACAUGCUUCCUCUGUUUGUAACAGAACAACUAGUGUCUGGGCCUGAGAAAGAGAAUCACGAAAUCUUUAUAUCCUGGUAUUAUUAUUAAAGAUGAAUGUGUGAGAAGCAAGAAAACUCACCAAAACGGGUGGAUGAAAGAAGCCAUGGAAUUAUCAGUAAGUCGCCUCACAUCACAAAGCAAACGGAGCAAAGGGAAACUAUUUCCAGGAAUCGAAUGUAGCUUGGUGGUUGAGCAACUAUUCUUCCUUUGGAUGUAGAGCUCAAAUACUCUCUGACACCAUCAAGCAAGCUUUGAGUUUAUUGACAUCGAUCCACUGUCAAAUCUACAUGUGGUAGAAAUAGUUGGUAGAUAGGAACUAAACACUGAAACUGUCAAUCUAAUCCAAUGUCAAAGGAACAACCAUCAGGGUUUUCACUGCAAGUUUUCGACCAAACUCCAGAUUGCAUUACCAAUGCAUUCUGGGCUGGCAAAGCAGGCACUGUUUACCCGCGUAAAAAUAGUCAGUGUAGUUUUUCCACCCUUCUGGGGCUGUAAAUAAUCCUCCUAGUGCUCAUGCUACUUACUCUACUCCCACUGCUUUAUCUAAUGCUACUAUGCAAUCAACAAAUGUUCAACCCUGCUAUGUAAACACUAGUGUGUUUAAUAUAUCAUUUUUUCUACAAAAACGAAAGAACAGUUGUCAAACAAGAAGAACAUGAGUCAAGUCUAGCUGAGCUGUUGGUGACAAAGAAAUUACCCUUCUUUUUCUUGGCUGCUUCAUCAGCUUUUACUUUUAGUUGCACAUUGUGUACAAUUUUCUGUAGAGUAUGGAGCCACUUUAGGGUAGGUAGGUCUAAUUCUAUCAC